rnacentral:rRNA from 1 species
UACGUAGGGGGCAAGCGUUGUCCGGAAUCAUUGGGCGUAAAGAGCGCGUAGGCGGCCCUGUAAGUCCGCUGUGAAAGUCAAGGGCUCAACCCUUGAAUGCCGGUGGAUACUGUCGGGCUAGAGUCCGGAAGAGGCGAGUGGAAUUCCUGGUGUAGCGGUGGAAUGCGCAGAUAUCAGGAGGAACACCGAUUGCGAAGGCAGCUCGCUGGGACGGUACUGACGCUGAGGCGCGAAAGCGUGGGGAGCGAACAGG